rnacentral:rRNA from 1 species
GAUGAACGCUGGCGGCGUGCCUAAUACAUGCAAGUCGAGCGAAUGGAUUAAGAGCUUGCUCUUAUGAAGUAAGCGGCGGACGGGUGAGUAACACGUGGGUAACCUGCCCAUAAGACUGGGAUAACUCCGGGAAACCGGGGCUAAUACCGGAUAACAUUUUGAACCGCAUGGUUCGAAAUUGAAAGGCGGCUUCGGCUGUCACUUAUGGAUGGACCCGCGUCGCAUUAGCUAGUUGGUGAGGUAACGGCUCACCAAGGCAACGAUGCGUAGCCGACCUGAGAGGGUGAUCGGCCACACUGGGACUGAGACACGGCCCAGACUCCUACGGGAGGCAGCAGUAGGGAAUCUUCCGCAAUGGACGAAAGUCUGACGGAGCAACGCCGCGUGAGUGAUGAAGGCUUUCGGGUCGUAAAACUCUGUUGUUAGGGAAGAACAAGUGCUAGUUGAAUAAGCUGGCACCUUGACGGUACCUAACCAGAGAGCCACGGCUAACUACGUGCCAGCAGCCGCAGUAA